rnacentral:rRNA from 1 species
GACAGAGGGUGCAAACGUUGUUCGGAAUUACUGGGCGUAAAGCGCGUGUAGGCGGCCCUGCAAGUCGGAUGUGAAAUCCCACGGCUCAACCGUGGAAGUGCAUUCGAAAACUGCAGGGCUAGAGUCCUGGAGAGGAAGGUGGAAUGCUUGGUGUAGAGGUGAAAUUCGUAGAUAUCAAGCGGAACACCGGUGGCGAAGGCGGCCUUCUGGACAGUGACUGACGCUGAGACGGCGAAAGCGUGGGGAGCAAACAGGG